rnacentral:lncRNA from 1 species
GGGCGCCCGGGGAGCAGGCUGGCAGAGUGACCGGGAUUGAUGAGCGGCGCAGCUCUGGAGGGACGCGGGCGAGAGGGUCGCUCCUCGGGGAGAGGGCUGGGUGAGUGAGGACCUGCGAGCCACCCCCGACACCCCUUCCAGGGUAGCCACACUGGCGCCCCCUUCUCCACCUAGAGAAGAUGUGAUGCCACUGGACAGGGAAGGAAAGUCGUCGUGGACUUCGCUGAGUGGAAAAGGGGGUAGUUGGGGAAGGUGGAGAAAAGAGCCACGGGAAGUGGGAGGAAAGGAUGAAGGGAUGGGACGUUGCAAAGGAAAGCUUCCUGAAUCCCUGUGUGACUCUAACCCAACCUCCCCACCUACCGGAGAAAUGGGUUUUAUCCUAGAAAUGGGGACGAGGAAAAAGAGAUGGCUCAAGGGAGUCCUGGCCCGGGAUGCGAUCCUCGCCCUAGGGUCUAUUGCAACCACACAAACCCGGACAGCGCACGCUCCCCGCUACCCCGACAGAAUAGUGCCUAAGAAACCUGCUUGCCUCCUAACUCUAGGAAGGAAUCCACAACGGAUUCCAGGGAGGUCUUCUGGGGAAUCUGAAUUGGGUUUUUGGAUCACGAACCAUUAAGCUUUUGAACUCUGGGGAAGAAUAGAACAGGUGGCUGGAAAUUGUUUUAGAACCCUACCUGAGCAGGUGUGCUCAUUAGUUGCUUAUCCGCCCUCCUCCUGGAGCACUUUCAUAGGUGUUGGCAAAGCAGGUACCAAUAUUUCACGGAAGGAGAAGGAAGAACCGCCCAGGACUGUGUAUAAAUGUCUAUGGGAAUAUUUUUAAGGAUUCAAAAGACUAGAAGGAGGUGAGAUCAAAAAAUUUUUCCAGCACCACCCAGUGCAACCCGAUCCUGGACACAGAAAUCUAAAAGAUGAUAUUUAAAUACUUGAGUUUGAGAGCCUCUAGUUAUAAGGUUUCCUACGUAACAACCUCUCACUUUUCUCAAAAACUGGCUAGUUGACAACCAGCAGUCAAGUUUUGGCUAGUCAAGAAGCUACUGUUGCCUGCAAUAAACCACAUUUAGAGAUAGUCCUGGGCUUCAGCAGGAUUGAGGCUAUAUUGAGGUCACAAGUAUGAACGAGGUACCCACAGAGAUGGGAGGGCCAGGAGAUCCUACUCAUUCGGUACCUCAGAAGCUAUGACACGGGAUAACAGUGGCUUCAGCCCUUUGGAUGAAAUAAUCCUCACUCCUUCAAAAGUGCUCUCCACCCACUCAAAACACAGGCCAUACUACCACCAAUCUGGUAGGCUUCAAAAGUAAGGUCUUUCAGCAGCAGAUUUCCUUGUUAACAGGAAGGCACUGACAAGCUUUACCUAAGCCUAUUGGAGCUAUGUUGUAAUUCUGUAUAUAAAUAGAACAGUCGCUGCAGGAAUACCGGAUGAGUCAGAAGAAAGGUCUGUCCUAAGCUGAUGUGACACAUUUCAAAAGGACCAGAAAUUAGAUGCAAUUGAUGACUGAGUUGAUCUCUAAGUGGAUUUAUCUUUGAAAUAAAAAUCAGUGGAUAUCCCAUAUACCCCACCCCACACCCUCCCCCAUUGUCAACAUCCCCAACCAAAGUAGCACAUUUGCUACAAAUAGUGAACCUACAUUGACAGAUCAUUAUCACCCAAAGUCCGUAGUUUACAUUAGGGUUCACUCUUGGGGCUGUAUAUUCUAUAGGGGUGGACAAAUAUAGAAUAACAUGAACCCACCCUCAUAGUAUCAUAGUAUCAUACAGAGUAUUUUCACUGCACUAAAAGUCAUCUGUACACCACCUAUUUAUCCCUUCCUCCCCCCAGUCUCUGGCAACCACUGAAGUUUUACUGUAUCCCUGUCUCCUUAGUUUUGCCUUUUCCGGAAUGCCAUAUAUAAGGAAUCAUACAGUAUGCAGUCUUUCUUUCAAUUUUGCUGUGAAACUAAAACUGCUAAGAAAAUAAAGUCUUGAAAAAUCAAUGGAGAAGGGAAAGCCGCCCUGCUGGUUGCCUCCACACCCCUCCUGCCGCCUUCCUCUCAGAACCCUAGCAGCUGUGUUCAGCGUCCCCCUCUUAAAGCAGCCACAUGCUCUGGGAAGACUGGCCCUCUGGGUCACAUCUGGCAGUCCCAUUCCUCUUGCUAAUGUGUGGUUCAGGAAUGGGCAGGUGGCCCAAUUCUGGUCAACAAGCCAUGAGAAGAAUCUGCUAGAGGUUUCCUUGCAUCUAAGAAAUGGUCUCUUUCGCCCUUGGACUUGGUUGGGUUUGGAUGUGAUGCCUGGAUCCUCUACAGCCUGAUGACAAAGACCACACCAAGGAUGGCAGAGUGGAAGGAUAAAAAGAACCAGGGCCUUCCAGCCUUUGUUGUAUGGCUGACUUAACCAACCUUGAAGGUCGCCUUACUCACGACUUCCUGUCAGAUGAGACAAAUUUCUUGGUUAAGAUACUUUGAUAGGGGUUUUCCGUUUCAUACAACUGAAAGUAUCCUGACUUAAACACCUUUUGAGGUUCUGCCCCAAGCCUUUAUUGAUUUUCUCCUCUUGAAUCACCACCAGCAUUUCUGCA